rnacentral:rRNA from 1 species
AACGAACGCUGGCGGCAUGCCUAACACAUGCAAGUCGAACGAGACCUUCGGGUCUAGUGGCGCACGGGUGCGUAACGCGUGGGAACCUGCCCUUAGGUUCGGAAUAACUCCCCGAAAGGGGUGCUAAUACCGGAUAAUGUCUUCGGACCAAAGAUUUAUCGCCUUUGGAUGGGCCCGCGUUGGAUUAGCUAGUUGGUAGGGUAAAAGCCUACCAAGGCGACGAUCCAUAGCUGGUCUGAGAGGAUGAUCAGCCACACUGGGACUGAGACACGGCCCAGACUCCUACGCAAGGCAGCAGUGGGGAAUAUUGGACAAUGGGCGAUAGCCUGAUCCAGCAAUGCCGCGUGAGUGAUGAAGGCCUUAGGGUUGUAAAGCUCUUUUACCCGGGAUGAUAAUGACAGUACCGGGAGAAUAAGCUCCGGCUAACUCCGUG